UCCAACUCCUCUUGUGAGCUCUGAGGCUGCAACCAGGCAGGACUGAGAUAGAGUUUGAGGUUGUAGUGAACCACCUUUCACGACAGCAAACGGUGUUUUUUGAGCUGUUUUGGAAUAUUACUGUUGAAGCUCAGCCAGUCAUGUACCUCCAUGUGCCCCCUGGUGUCUCACAGCGGCUUCUCGCCUUGCUUUUCUCUUGUCUCUUGAGGCACAGCAGCAUCUAGUGGUUGACUGAGGAAAUCACACUUUUGUAUCAUCAUCCUGCCAUCCACUCACACUGUUUUUCACCUUUUUCUGCCUGAACUUUCCCAGCUUGUCUGGAAUCCAAAUAUUGACCUUUUAGCCAUGAACCACAUUUAAUUUCAAGGCUAUUUGUGCUUUGUUUAGUUACACACACCUAAAUUAACACUUUACCGUUUUUAUUUAACCUGAAUCUGUUUUCCUUUCCCCCAGUAUUUGUCUUUCUUGAGGAACCUCCACAGAAAUGCUUACAGAUGACCAAAACCUGGAUGUGCUGUAACCUCUUUACACGUCAGCCAUGCCCCUCCACCAUCACAUCGUGAAAGAGGCCUGGACGCAAGACGGGGUUCAUGAGCUUGAGGAUUCUGCGCCGGCCCAGCAGCUGCAAGUUCAGGUAAAUCUUUUAUUUAAAUGAGGCGGAAAAGACAA